CAAGUACUCCCUCCUUCUCGAAAUUCUUGUCUUAGAUUUGUCUAGACAUGAAUGUAUCUAGUCAUGUUUUAGUAUUUUGAUACAUCCAUUUCUAGACAAACCUAAGACAAGAAUUUUAAGACGGAGGGAGUAGUUA
rfam:Hordeum vulgare subsp. vulgare, WGS project CAJW01000000 data, contig: morex_contig_37036